AAUAGGAGAAAGAAGUAGAGGAAGAUAUGUGAAAUAAUAGUGUUUUGUCUGUAGAUAUUUUUGCUUUGGUUUUGGAAUCUGCUGGAAGUAAGUUGUAAUAUUUGAUGCAUCAUAUUAGUUAUUAUGUAGCUACUGGUUACUUCCUUUACAACAAUGCUCAAUUUUCUCGGAGGUGAUCUUCAUGUGCAGAUCUAGCUCUAGCAGAUGCUGGGAUUUUGUUUUCAUGAUUUGGUUGACCUUGUUCGUAUGCAAGUCACCAAGAUGGUUUUCAUUUUUCUCCUUUAAUUCAUACUCUAUCGAACAUGAUAUUAACAUUUAUUUUCCCUUCUCUCAUGUUAUUCAAGUCUUCUCUAGGGAUGAACCUAGUCAUAGUUCCUGUUCCAGAAGAAGAAAGCCGCCAAGAUGGAUGCUAUUAUAGCUUCACAUAUUGAGGUCAUUAGCUGGCAGUAACUGGAGAAUGGUCCACACCAAACGAGGCAUGAUGAUUUACUCAUGCAGUUAAUUGUGCUUCAUGCAUCACAUCCUCAUCCCUGUUAUUACUACCUUUUACUAUUCUGGAUAAUAAUGCAUGCUGCAAACUGGCAGGCAAUGAUGCACACUAUGCCUUGAUGCUUCUUCAAAAAUUGGGGAAACUUGAGAACUUGUUUGAAAGGUGCCAUUUCUAAAAUAGAUGUGGAAAUUGAAGCAUACAUACCUUUUCCUUCCUCCUACCAGGCCAGUAACUGUCCUUCCUUGUGAAUUUUGUUUUAUGUGUUGGCCUGAAAUUCGUUCCUAGUAUUUUUAUUCCCUAUUGGAAAUAGCUUAGCAUAUAUACCCACGGGGUGUGUGGAUGGGAUAGUGUGGGUCUCCAGCUUAACCAAAGGUUUCAAAUUCAAGCCUUGGAAAUGCAGCUACCUUUUAAAACUUACAAGGGAGUGUUUUGUCAUCCUUGAGAUCCUACCGGUACGAACAUGUUUUUUUUAGUUGACUAGUUAAGGAAACAUGUGGU